rnacentral:tRNA from 1 species
UCCUUGAUGGCUCAGCAGGUAAAGAAUCUGCCUGCAAUGCAGGAGAUGCGGGUUUGAUCCCUGUGUUGGGAA